CCUCCAUCUGUAAAGGAGCAAAGUGUUUCCUGCUUUCCUGAUGGUAUUGUGCCCAGGUGGUCCUGCCUUCCCAGCUCAGUCUCUUCCCGCUGUACACUGCCAGCCAGCCUCAUGUGGCAGAGAGGUGGCCUCCCUGGCUGGGCAUCCUUUGGGCCGCACGGUGCUGGCCUGUGGCACUGAUGACUGAAAGGCCUACCAUGGUAUAACUUUCGCCCUCUCUUGCUUCAAAGACAACAGCCAAUGCUUGUGGAUGCUCAGCCUCCAGGUUGGUAUGCCCCAGCUGUGUGGAACCAUCCCUAUCACUGUCACAGGCAGAUCCCAGCCAGCUGUCACUCCUGCCUUUGUGCCUGAGCAACCUCCCAACACUUACCAGGGUCCCCACUAAGGCUGCACUGUCCUGGGCAUUGGCUGCUUAAUUCUUUUUACACCGAC
rnacentral:lncRNA from 1 species